rnacentral:rRNA from 1 species
AGGGAUAGUUGGGGGCAUUAGUACUUAACUGUCAGAAGGUGGAAUUCUCAGAUUUGUUAAAGACUGACUUAUGCGAAAGCAUUUGCCAAGGAUGUUUUCAUCAAUCAAGAACGAAAGU